rnacentral:rRNA from 1 species
UUCUGCUCAUGAUGUUUAUAAAUAGCCGCGGUAAUUUGACCGUGCAAAGGUAGCAUAAUCAUUUGCCUCAUAAUUGGGGGCUGGAAUGAAUGGAAUAACAAGAUUCUUGCUUUAUUAAGGAAAUAAAUAAAAUUUGCUUUUUUAGUGAAGAAGCUAAAAUUUAAAUGUAGGACAAGAAGACCCUUUUGAGUUUUAUUAAUCUUUUUUUUUUUUUAAAUUUGAUUAAUUUGGUUGGGGCGACCAAGGAAGAGAUGGAUCUUCCUUAUGAAUUUUGAUCCAAAGUUAUUGAUAAACAGAAUAAACUACCAAAGGGAUAACAGCGUAAUUUUUUUUGUGAGUUCUUAUUAAAAAAAAAGAUUGCGACCUCGAUGUUGACUUAUAGUUUCCUUUUGGUGCAGCCGCUAACA